rnacentral:rRNA from 1 species
GACGAACGCUGGCGGCGUGCUUAACACAUGCAAGUCGAGCGAGGCCCCUCCUUCGGGAGGGUGUCCUAGCGGCGAACGGGUGAGUAACACGUGGGCAACCUGCCCUCAGCUCUGGGAUAACUCCGGGAAACCGGGGCUAAUACCGGAUACGACCUCUACGGGCAUCUGCGGAGGAGGAAAGUUUUUCGGCUGAGGAUGGGCCCGCGGCCUAUCAGCUAGUUGGUGGGGUAGUGGCCCACCAAGGCGCCGACGGGUAGCCGGCCUGAGAGGGCGACCGGCCACACUGGGACUGAGACACGGCCCAGACGCCUACGGGAGGCAGCAGUGGGGAAUAUUGCGCAAUGGGCGAAAGCCUGACGCAGCGACGCCGCGUGAGGGACGAAGGCCUUCGGGUUGUAAACCUCUUUCAGCAGGGACGAAGCGAAAGUGACGGUACCUGCAGAAGAAGCACCGGCCAACUACGUG